CCUACGGGAGGCAGCAGUGAGGAAUAUUGGUCAAUGGACGAGAGUCUGAACCAGCCAAGUAGCGUGAAGGAUGACUGCCCUAUGGGUGGGAAACUUCUGUUAUAUGGGAAUAAAAUGUUCCACGUGUGGGAUUUGGUAUGUACCAUAUGAAUAAGGAUCGGCUAACGCCGGGCAAGCAGGCUCGGUAAUACGGAGGAACCAAGCGUGAUCCGGAUUGAUUGGGUUUAAAGGGUGUGUAGGGGGACGCGUAAGUCAGCGGUAAAAUUGCGGGGCUCAACCUCGUCGAGCCGUUGAAACUGGGUGCCUUGAGUGGGCGAGAAGUACGCGGAAUGCGUGGUGUAGCGGUGAAAUGCAUAGAUAUCACGCAGAACUCCGAUUGCGAAGGCAGCGUACCGGCGCCCAACUGACGCUGAAGCACGAAGGCGUGGGUAUCGAACAGGAUUAGAUACCCCGGUAGAC
rnacentral:rRNA from 1 species